GAUGAACGCUGGCGGCGUGCUUAAUACAUGCAAGUCGAGCGAACGGACGAGAAGCUUGCUUCUCUGAUGUUAGCGUCGGAAGGGUGAGUAACACGUGGAUAUACUACCUAUUUGACUGGGGUAACUUCGGGAAACAGGAGCUAAUACCGGUUAAUUUUUUGAUGCGCAUGGUUCAAAAGUGAAAGAAGGUCUUGCUGUUAUUUAUAGAUGGAUCCGCGCUGCAUUGGCUAGUUGGUGAGGUAAGGGCUUAACAAGGCAACGAUGGAUAGCCGACGUGAGAGGGUGAUCGGCCACACUCGAUCUGAGACGCGCUCCAAACCCCUACAGAAGGCAGCAGUAGGGAAUCGUCCGCGAUGUGGCAAAGCCUGACGGAGCAACACCGAGUGAGGGAGGAAGGUCUUCGGAUCGUUAAACUCUGUUAUCAUGGAAGAACAUAUAUGAAAGUUACUGUUCACAGCGUGACGGUUACUAAUCAGAAAGCCACGGCUAACUACGUG
rnacentral:rRNA from 1 species